AAGAAAUUCGCUGAUAGAUGGGCACGCGUUCCAUUACCGUAGUUGGUGAGGUAACGGCUCACCAAGCCGACGAUGGAUAGGGGAACUGAGAGGUUGGUCCCCCACACUGGUACUGAGACACGGACCAGACUCCUACGGGAGGCAGCAGUGAGGAAUAUUGGUCAAUGGGCGAGAGCCUGAACCAGCCAAGUCGCGUGAAGGAAGAAGGAUCUAUGGUUCGUAAACUUCUUUUGCAGGGGAAUAAAGUGCAGGACGUGUCCUGUUUUGUAUGUACCCUGAGAAUAAGGAUCGGCUAACUCCGUGCCAGCAGCCGCGGUAAUACGGAGGAUCCGAGCGUUAUCCGGAUUUAUUGGGUUUAAAGGGUGCGUAGGUGGUUUGAUAAGUCAGCGGUGAAAGUUUGCAGCUUAACUGUAAAAAUGCCGUUGAAACUGUCGGACUUGAGUGUAAAUGAGGUAGGCGGAAUGCGUGGUGUAGCGGUGAAAUGCUUAGAUAUCACCAAGAACUCCGAUUG
rnacentral:rRNA from 1 species